rnacentral:sRNA from 1 species
UUAAGAUCAGGUUGCGGUUUUAGUUCUUAUACUCAAUCAUACACAUGACAUCAAGUCAUAUUCGACUCCAAAACAGUAACCAACCUUCUUCUU